GACGAACGCUGGCGGCGUGCCUAAUACAUGCAAGUAGAACGCUGAAGGAGGAGCUUGCUUCCCUGGAUGAGUUGCGAACGGGUGAGUAACGCGUAGGUAACCUGCCUGGUAGCGGGGGAUAACUCUUGGAAACGAUAGCUAAUAUCGCAUAAUAGUAGAUGUUGCAUGACAUUUGCUUAAAAGGUGCAAUUGCAUCACUACCAGAUGGACCUGCGUCGUAUUAGCUAGUUGGUGAGGUAACGGCUCACCAAGGCAACGAUACAUAGCCGACCUGGGAGGGGGGUCGGCCACAAUGGGACUGGGACACGGGCCCAACUCCUACGGGAGGCAGCAGUAGGGAAUCUUCGGGAAUGGACGGAAAUCUGAACGGGCAACGCCGCGUGAGUGAAGGAGGGUUUCGGAUCGUAAAGCUCUGUUGUAAGAGAAGAACGAGUGUGAGAGUGGAAAGUUCACACUGUGACGGUAUCUUACCAGAAAGGGACGGCUAACUACGUG
rnacentral:rRNA from 1 species